GGGCUCUCUCCGGCACGCGGAGGCUGCAGCUAAAGAUGGUCUCGCCCUCCACGAUUUGCGCAUGCCCAGAGCUCCAACGGCACAACCCGUCCCUGGCCCCACAACGUCACUUCCUGUCCAGGGAGAGUCAGAAACUACAUCUCCCAGCCUGCUCCGGAGGCGCUUCCGCUCUCUCCAUCCCCGGUAAGGGAGGGGUGCGGCAUCUGAAAUGGCACGCGCUCCGUGCGAGCCCCGGUGGGGCUGGCGGGCAAAGCUGCUGCCUCCUGUAAGCCGGGUUCGGGCUGAGCAGCUGCUGCUCCCGGGUCUGUGCGGGGGAGGCGUUACCCCUCCGUGCCCGGCCGGGUGGGGGGGCUUUCUCCAACUGGGACCCGCCCCCUGGGCAGCCUCGGUCUCUGCCCGCCCCAGCCCGCCCGGAGCCCCCGGCUGCAGAAUGACAUCCGUCUUUCACUCCAGCACAUAUCAUCUUCCCAUGGGACAAGGGAGAAAAAUGACUGAAGUGGAGCAAGGGACCAGUGACCUUCGAGGAGGUAGCUGUGUAUUUCACC